ensembl:lncRNA
GACUUAAGAUUAAAUGACAUGACUAGACCUAUCAUUAUCUGUUAUUAAAACAAGCUUGGUUAGGGUUCUUGGCAAAGUUCGGACUCAUUUUCAUUUUAAACCACCUGUAAUUACUACACCGGACAUUCUUUUAAAGUGUUAUGAUUGAUUUAAGCGUUCAGUGAUAUGUAAAUAUUUAAUCCAGACACAAUCCGAGCCUCUCUUCCAGCCAUAAAUAUUAAACAAAAUGACAGCAGAAGUUUUUCUUUAGGCGCAGUGAAUGAAGAACCCGUUCAGGGUGGAAUCGACUCUUGUUCGAAAGAGUCGAUUGGGGGCGGAAACUUCAUAACAGCGCCGAAAUACGCGACUCCAAGAAUACGCGCAACUAAAACCAACCCGAGCUGAACUCUCCGGCAGACCGAACAGAGCCCACAAACCCAAACCCAGGGAGAGUUUCCAUUACAAAAAGAAGAAAAAUGUAGUCUCCAUGCAUGGAUUGUAACUGUCCGAGUUGAGAGGACUUCAGCACGAAUCAUUCAGGCGUGUGAACAUGGACCAAAAAUGACAAAUGCAUCUUCUUGGCACUUCUGUUUUGGUGUUUCUCCUCCUACCUCUCGUCUUCUCCUGCAAAAGCACCAAGAGUAAAGAGGAGAUCUCUCAGGAUUAUGAGUAUAUCAUUCAGAAGCAGCUGGAGCACAUUAACUUGAGUAUUCAGAGACAGGUGGAGUCCUGCGGGGAACGAAAGCUCGUGCUGCAGAAUUUAUUCCCGAUCGAGCGCAUCAGCACCGUGUCCUGCACCCGUUUACCGAGGAACAUAAGUGGUCAGCUGCACACUGAAUUACGGAACCUCGUGAGGGACAUAACGGUAUCGCUGGGAUGUCCCUGUUCUGCAAACCAGACCGAGCAGGCAGAGAGGUGGCCGGACUCCCAGCCUUUACAGAAGAAGUUUUGCCGACUGAAACGUUUGCUCAUGACGAUACAGAAAGCGUACGAACAAUACAACUCGGCUUAGUAAGUGUGGGCCACCGUGAGCGCCGAUUGAAAGAUGUUCUAAAUCUGAAAUAAUAAUAAUAAAAACAAUAGUAAUAAUAAAUAAAAUAUCGAAGCAUGGCUUCCUUACAAAGCUUUGCAUGGCACCUUGUAUAUGAGAGGACAUACACUCAUAACGAAGUGGCGAGUGAAACACGCCCGCUGCUUGGAGAGCAAAAAUCAGCCGGAUGCAGGAUCCAUCAUGAAUCGUACAACCAGCAGACAUGUCUCACGGACCAGUCGCCGUGAAACAGGUCGACCCCCCCCCGAUGGUUCAACAGCAUUCUUUGACUUUAACCCAUGUUUCCACUGAAGCUCUGGAUAUCCACCUUGUUUUUCUAGCUAUGGAGAUCUACUCUCAGUUCCUAGAGCUUGUUUUGAACUGCGCCCAAAAAGGUGUGAAGGAAAAGGGUCAGAAGAUGAGUUAUGUCCUGAUGAUGUCAAAGUUGUCUGUGGCAAAGUGUAGAGAGAGGCAUAUGCAGAAGAGCGCGGACAGCACUUUCCUCAGAGCAAGUUAUGCUACAAAGAAAAUCUUAGGGGGGGGCAAUAAUGGAUAA